rnacentral:rRNA from 1 species
CGCAUCUGUGCAUGCAGCAUAUCAAUAAGCGGAGGAAAAGAAACUAACAAGGAUUCCCUAGUAACGGCGAGUGAAGCGGGAAGAGCUCAAAUUUGAAAUCUUCAAGGGUUUACCUUUACGAAUUGUAGUUUAAAGAAGUGUUUUCUGUUGAGGUUUUGGUAAAAGUUCUUUGGAAUAGGACAUCAUAGAGGGUGAGAAUCCCGUAUUUGACCUUUACUUUCAACUCUGUGAUACACUUUCAAAGAGUCGGAUUGUUUGGGAAUGCAGUCCAAAAUGGGUGGUAAAUUUCAUCUAAAGCUAAAUAUUGGCGAGAGACCGAUAGCGAACAAGUACCGUGAGGGAAAGAUGAAAAGAACUUUGAAAAGAGAGUUAAACAGUACGUGAAAUUGUCAAAAGGGAAGCGUUUGACACCAGUGUUGUUUUCUGAAAAUCAAUUAAAAUGACUGAUUUAUGCUAGUUGUUGAGACUUUAAUCAAGCUAACUGUUAAUUUUUGAGUCUUUUCUUUAAUGCACUUUUCAGUUAACAAGUCAACAUCAGUUUCUUUCGUUGUAAAAGGGUCAUUGGAAGGUGGCUUUCUUUUCGGAGAAAGUGUUUAUAGCCUCUUGGCCUAUGCAAUCGGAGAGAUUGAGGUCUGCAGCGUAGACUCCUUCGGGGCUAGAUACAUUUGUGCUAAGUUAUAGCAUUUUAUAGACAACUUGUUGACUAUAAUUAGUCUUGUAGCUUACUCGCUUAUGUUAUUUUACCUACGCUUAGGAUGUUGAUAGUCACAGCGUGUAC